rnacentral:rRNA from 1 species
AGUGAACGCUGGCGGCAGGCUUAACACAUGCAAGUCGAGCGGUAGCACAAGAGAGCUUGCUCUCUGGGUGACGAGCGGCGGACGGGUGAGUGAUGUCUGGGAAACUGCCUGAUUGAGGGGGAUAACUACUGGAAACGGUAGCUAAUACCGCAUAACGUCGCAAGACCAAAGAGGGGGACCUUCGGGCCUCUUGCCCUCAGAUGUGCCCAGAUGGGAUUAGCUCGUGGGUGGGGUAAUGGCUCACCUAGGCGACGGUCCCUAGCUGGUCUGUGAGGAUGAUCAGCCCCACUGGAACUGAGACACGGUCCAGACUCCUACGGGAGGCAGCAGUGGGGAAUAUUGGACAAUGGGCGCAAGCCUGAUCCAGCCAUACCGCGUGGGUGAAGAAGGCCUUCGGGUUGUAAAGCCCUUUUGUUGGGAAAGAAAAGCAGCAGGUUAAUACCCCGCUGUUCUGACGGUACCCAAAGAAUAAGCACCGGCUAACUUCGUG